ACCUAGGAGCCGGCCCCCCACCCCCCCGCCUCUAGCGACCGGAAGUCGGCCGCCAGGCCGGCUCUUCCGCUUCCGUUACGUCACUUCCGGGGCGAGCGGCGGAGGCCGGGAGCGGCGCGGGCGGAGGGCUGUCGCCCGCCCUUCGGCUCGGAUCCCAGGCGUCGGGGGAGCCCGUCGCGAGGGGCGAAGCCUUGCCAUGGGGAUCUGCUGCCUCCCACAAUGCGCCUCCCCAGCAGCAUCAAUGCAUUUGAAUAGCCCAUGCUUGGCAAAGCAACCAGUGAACAGGAUUCCUGUGUCUAACUGG